rnacentral:tRNA from 1 species
GGUUGUGGCUAAGUGGUAGAGCGCUUGUCUAGCACAUGCGAGGCACUGGAUUCAAUUCUCAGCACCA